rnacentral:lncRNA from 1 species
ACUAUAAUAACUGUUUUCUUUACUAAUACCAAUGAUUGUUUUGAUUCCAUUACAUGACAAGAAAAAUAGAUACCACACUGCCACUUUUUAGCUGUACGCUCUUGGUUGGCAAGUCUCAAGCAAUAAGAGUCCUAGAAGAAAACCUAGGCUACACCAUUCUGGGCAUUGGCUGUGGAAAAGAAUUUAUGACUAAGUCAUCAAAAGCAAUUGCAACAAAAACAAAAAUUGACAAGUAGGACAUAAUUAAACUAAAGAGCUUCUGCACAGCAAAAGACACUGUCAACAGAGUGAAAAGACAGGCUAUAGAAUGGAAGCUAUCGACAGAGUAAACAGACAACUUACAAAA